GGCUGUGUAAUCCUCAAGCCUUCCUCUGUGAUCAAUUCAGUAAUCUUCUUGUGUUGGUUUCUCUCUUUCAUUACAGCAGAAAAGUAUUUGUUAUUACCAUCCCCUAGAUGAAUCCAUUUGGCUCGAGCUUUCUGUUGUAAUAUUGAUUCUUCCAGCAGAGAUCAUUUUUCCAGUUGAAGUAUCAGAUCUUUUUCUCUUAGUUGCAAUGAAUCAGAAUAGGCACUAGUCAUCUGGUGUUGUAAAGCUUCCAGUUCCUUACGGCUGACCUUAAUUUUCUCUGAAAUUGUCUUAAAUUCUCUGGUAUUUAGAGAUUUUAAGACUGGUUUAAGGGACUUGAGGUUGUUCCACAUCCCUUGAAGGGUAGGCUGAGCAUUGGCAUUCCAGGAAGCUUUAACUAGUUGUUGGAAAUCCUGAUGCUGUAUCCAUGCAUUAAA
rnacentral:lncRNA from 1 species